GACGAACGCUGGCGGCGUGCCUAAUACAUGCAAGUAGAACGCAGUUGCGAACGGGUGAGUAACGCGUAGGUAACUGCCUCAUAGCGGGGGAUAACUAUUGGAAACGAUAGCUAAUACCGCAUACUGUGAGAUGGACCUGCGUUGUUUUAGCUAGUUGGUGGGGUAAAGGCUCACCAAGGCGACGAUACAUAGCCGACCUGGGAGGGUGGACGGCCAAACUGGGACUGGGACCAGGCCCAGACUCCUAAGGGAGGGAGCAGUAGGGAAUCGUCGGACAUGGACGGAAGGCUGACCGAGCAACGCCGCGGGAGUGAAGAAGGUUUUCGGAUCGUAAAGCUCUGUUGUUAGAGAAGCGGUACCUAACCAGAAAGGGACGGCUAACUACGUGCCAGCAGCCGCGGUAAUUC
rnacentral:rRNA from 1 species